rnacentral:rRNA from 1 species
UGUAUAAUGGGUCAGCGACUUAUAUUCUGUAGCAAGGUUAACCGAAUAGGGGAGCCGAAGGGAAACCGAGUCUUAACUGGGCGUUAAGUUGCAGGGUAUAGACCCGAAACCCGGUGAUCUAGCCAUGGGCAGGUUGAAGGUUGGGUAACACUAACUGGAGGACCGAACCGACUAAUGUUGAAAAAUUAGCGGAUGACUUGUGGCUGGGGGUGAAAGGCCAAUCAAACCGGGAGAUAGCUGGUUCUCCCCGAAAGCUAUUUAGGUAGCGCCUCGUGAAUUCAUCUCCGGGGGUAGAGCACUGUUUCGGCAAGGGGGUCAUCCCGACUUACCAACCCGAUGCAAACUGCGAAUACCGGAGAAUGUUAUCACGGGAGACACACGGCGGGUGCUAACGUCCGUCGUGAAGAGGGAAACAACCCAGACCGCCAGCUAAGGUCCCAAAGUCAUGGUUAAGUGGGAAACGAUGUGGGAAGGCCCAGACAGCCAGGAUGUUGGCUUAGAAGCAGCCAUCAUUUAAAGAAAGCGUAAUAGCUCACUGGUCGAGUCGGCCUGCGCGGAAGAUGUAACGGGGCUAAACCAUGCACCGAAGCUGCGGCAGCGACGCUGAUGCGUUGUUGGGUAGGGGAGCGUUCUGUAAGCCUGCGAAGGUGUGCUGUGAGGCAU